AUUGCCAGAACCUUGGCGAUGUAAGGGAUCAGCGGCAGGUUCAGAAUCAGCAGGAUCAGGUUGCCGAUAUACAUCGAGAUGAUGACCGACCAGAAGAUCUGAGGCUGGUCCACCAUCAGGCGCGGGCC
rnacentral:ncRNA from 1 species